CACAAACAGAAAAUUCAGGUAUCCCUGAUACUCCGCUGCUGCUGGCCUGUCCCCAUGACUGGAUUGGAUAUCGUGGGAUCUGCUACUUCCUCUCGAAGGAUCUGCUCAGCUGGGAUCAGGCUCAGGCUCGGUGCUCUGAGCUCGGGGCCUCCCUGGCCGUGCUCCAGGACUGGGAAAUGGGGUUCCUCUCCCAUCUCUGCGGGAACAGCGAUCACUGGGUCAGGCUGCGCAGACGGGGCCGGGAGCUGCAGUGGGGGGACGGCAGCAGCUUCAACUCCUCGGUUCCUGUCCGAGGCAAUGCAGAGUGUGUGUACCUGUCUGAGAAUCAUCUCGGGAGCGCUCCCUGCUCCAAUCCACUACCCUUUGUCUGCAGCAGGGCCCAAACUCGUCUGUGACAGGAGACGGACAGAGCUCCUUCUCCGUGCUGGGCUCUCUCAGCUCCUCCUCCCACUCCCUGCACCGGGAUGUCCUACCUCAGCCGCAGCGUCUGCCUUGCA